rfam:Stegodyphus mimosarum contig37769, whole genome shotgun sequence.
GCCUUCGUGGUGUAGUGGUCAGCACGCUCGGCGUGUGUAUUCGAGAGGUCUGUGGUUCGAGUCCCGCCGAGGACA